rnacentral:rRNA from 1 species
AGGAUAAACGCUGGCGGCGUGCCUAACACAUGCAAGUCGAACGUCCUCUUUCUUUUCGGAGGGAGAGGGAGUGGCGGACGGGUGAGUAACACAUGGGUGACCUGCCCCAAAGUGAGGGAUACCGGCGAGAAAUCGCCGACAAGCCCGCAUAGGCUGGCUCUGGUAGAGCGGAGCGAGCAAAGUUUUGCGCAAGUGAGACGCUUUGGGAUGGGCCUGUGGCCGAUUAGCUAGUUGGUGGGGGAAGAGCCUACCAAGGCGACGAUCGGUAGCUGGUCUGAGAGGACGAUCAGCCACACUGGGAUUGAGAACGGCCCAGACUCCUACGGGGGGCAGCAGUGAGGAAUUUUCCGCAAUGGUCGCAAGACUGACGGAGCAACGCCGCGUGCAGGAGGACGCUUUCGGAGUGUAAACUGCUUUUCUGUGGGACGAGAAGUGGACGGUACCACGAGGAAGAAGCCCCGGACUAACUACGUGCCAGCAGCCGC